CGUGUAGGCGGCCUGAUAUGUCAGAUGUGAAAGCCCUGGGCUUAACCCAGGAAGCGCAUUUGAAACUGUCAGGCUCGAGUAGGGGAGAGGGAAGUGGAAUUCCUGGUGUAGAGGUGAAAUUCGUAGAUAUCAGGAGGAACACCGGUGGCGAAGGCGACUUCCUGGCCCUAUACUGACGCUGAGACGCGAGAGCGUGGGUAGCAAACAG
rnacentral:rRNA from 1 species